UCCCUGAUCUAAUUUGGACUGGCUACUAACAUGGCCAGAAUUACAGAGGGCGCUUUGCUUUGCUUUGCUUUGCCCCUCCCCUUUCUGAUAGACCCACUACUUUGGGAAGGGAAUUAGUCUAUAAAUAGACUGCCUUCCACACACACUCACCUUUUUUUUUUUUUUUUGGUGGGGUGGUUUAAAAUGAACAAAGCUCUUGCAAUAGAAAAAUUGCACCAAUUAAAGAAAGGGAGCCAGGCAAGAAAGAACAGCUGGGGAUAAGGACUGUUAAAUGCUAGGAUAAAGAAAUCUGCACCCUCUCUCUCUAACCAGCCUAACAAGUUAGGGUGUGUGGCAAGGAAAGGCAGGAGGAAAAAAUGAAAGCAUUCUAGCUUGCUCCUUCAGAUCAGAGGCAUUUCACGUCCUGCUUCAUCCUGUGAGGUGCCUCAUGUGGGUAGACCAACUUUCAGGAUUAGAAUUUGUGCCUCUUUUGCUCUUUAUGUAGCAUAGUAGGUAGAAACUGCAGGGAAACACAGGGGUUCCAAAUCACCACAUUUACAUAAUACAGCUCAUUAUGUGACUAGGAGGCUCAUUAAAAUGAGGGACUGAGUGAUGGCACUGCCGAGAGCGAUGUAUCAAGUAAGCAGCUGAUGUGAAAGCCACCUUACUUAGCCAGCGCACCUCAAUCCUGACCUCAGCCUUCUAAUUCCAGGCCUGGGUCCUUCCUAAGCAGAACAUCAGUCAUAUGGGAGAUGUCCUUUCCAGAUUUGCCUCUUCAGCACAGGAAGCAGCUACAGAAGACUGCCUCGAACACUGUGCACGCCUACCUCCUGUUCAUGUGUGGCAGAUUUAGAGGAAGAACCAAAGGGCUAGAGACUUACCACUGUCUCCCAACUCUUCAGACAGGUUUUGAAGUUAUACUGCCUGCAAAGGGUGGCUGAUUUGGACCUUAAGGUUGGUGGAUUGGAAAGACAUGACUUGUGGCGCGCAGAUUUUGUUGGGUUAGGGGAAUCAGCAGUGUCAUUCUAGCUACCUUCAGAAAUGAAAUGCUUCAUGACAGCCACUUAGAAUGGUCUAUACUGAACUACUUAGCUACUGAAAUACCCUAAGCUACUUAGACCCCAAAUUCUGGUCUGAUUUAGAUUUCCUGGUAGCAGCACCAGCUGUCCAGUCAGUGUCUGUAUAAAUGUUAAUAGGAAUUGUGCAUGCAGGGGAAUAAUCCCAGAUGUCUCAUUAAAAUGAAGAAUAUCACCCAGAUAGAAAUAAUCUGACUUUUGCUUCCUGUGCUUAGAUCACAUUUAUAUGUUGUUAUAUAUAUGCAUGAGGACAGUGAUAUAUGAAAAGCCAUUUUAGUUUAAUUCAUGUAAGUCAAUGCAAGCUCUCAUAAAAGUCCAGUAUGUAAAACGUAUGCUGCUUACUCAGCAUUAGCAUAUAAGUGACAGGUUUUUGUUCUGCAUGGGAAGUUAAGCUGACAAUCUUUCCCUGUUCUCUUGUUGUUCCAGGAGUUGCAAGUCAGCACCUCGUGUUGCAAUAGUGCAUGUUGCAACACUCUAAAGUGCUGAUCUCCUCUGAAAAAUGACAGGAUGGGGCUCCACAUAUAUUUUCUUUCAGUGAUUUUCACAUAAUAUUUACUCUGUUCACAUGUCAAAAGAUAAUUUCUUUUUUCGGACCAGAUCUGUGAGUUGAGCCUGGGAUCUGCAAAGCUACCUUGCUCAUCACCAGAGAUAGAGAUUCUCCAGUUAGAACUUAGUUGACAGCUCUGACGAUGUGAAAGGUAGUGCAGGUCUUGCUAAUGCUAGUAAAAGCUUGUUUUUGUCAGUAACAUAAGAGACGCCUGGCCCAGUUGUGCUGAAAAAGGCACAACCGUUUUUAUAAUGUCACUUUUCUGAUCCAAUCCAACAGCGUUCUAGCACAAAGAGCAGGUCUUUCGCUGGUGUAAAUAAGUGUAGUUUCACUGAGGCCAAUCUAGAAGUGGGGGAUUAUUAUAAUUGUUAUUCGUGUUGAGGUAGCA